AGGUGGAAGGAGUUAUCAUAGAGGGUAGGAUGGUGAAGGUCAGCGUGGAAGGAGAGGAUGGCGUCAAAGGUCUCAUAAGUAUGAUUGGAGGAAGAGAAAAAAGAGGAGAAAUUUGGAGGAAGAUGAUGGAGAAAGAGGGAGAGCACUCAUAGGUGGGCUUAAAAGAGGAAGAAGAUAAUGAGGAGAAGUGGGUGAAGAAAAAGAAGAGGAGGAAGAAAAAGAAGCUAUCGACAAGGAAGGGUGGAGGUGGAAGAGAAGAAGGAGAAGUGGCAG
rnacentral:lncRNA from 1 species